GACGAACGCUGGCGGCGUGCCUAAUACAUGCAAGUUGAGCGAUGAAGAUUGGUGCUUGCACCAAUUUGAAGAGCAGCGAACGGGUGAGUAACGCGUGGGGAAUCUGCCUUUGAGCGGGGGACAACAUUUGGAAACGAAUGCUAAUACCGCAUAACAACUUUAAACAUAAGUUUUAAGUUUGAAAGAUGCAAUUGCAUCACUCAAAGAUGAUCCCGCGUUGUAUUAGCUAGUUGGUGAGGUAAAGGCUCACCAAGGCGAUGAUGCAUAGCCGACCUGAGAGGGUGAUCGGCCACAUUGGGACUGAGACACGGCCCAAACUCCUACGGGAGGCAGCAGUAGGGAAUCUUCGGCAAUGGACGAAAGUCUGGCCGAGCAACGCCGCGUGAGUGAAGAAGGUUUUCGGAUCGUAAAACUCUGUUGGUAGAGAAGAACGUUGGUGAGAGUGGAAAGCUCAUCAAGUGACGGUAACUACCCAGAAAGGGACGGCUAACUACGUG
rnacentral:rRNA from 1 species